rnacentral:rRNA from 1 species
AUUGAACGCUGGCGGAAUGCUUUACACAUGCAAGUCGAGCGGCAGCGCGGGGCAACCUGGCGGCGAGCGGCGAACGGGUGAGUAAUGCAUCGGAACAUGUCCAGUCGUGGGGGAUAGCCCGCCGAAAGGCGGAUUAAUACCGCAUACGCCCGGGAGGGGAAAGCGGGGGACCUGCAAGGGCCUCGCGCGAUUGGGUUGGCCGAUGUCCGAUUAGCUAGUUGGUGGGGUAAAGGCCCACCAAGGCGAUGAUCGGUAGCUGGUCUGAGAGGAUGACCAGCCACACUGGGACUGAGACACGGCCCAGACUCCUACGGGAGGCAGCAGUGGGGAAUUUUGGACAAUGGGGGCAACCCUGAUCCAGCCAUUCCGCGUGAGUGAAGAAGGCCUUCGGGUUGUAAAGCUCUUUUGUCCGGAGCGAAACGGUUGUGGUGAAUAUCCACGACUACUGACGGUACCGGAAGAAUAAGCACCGGCUAACUACGUGCCAGCCGCCGCGGUAAAAC